GCAGCCGGAUGAGGUCAAGGUGAGCGCGACGGUGCGCCCGUCGACGGCGCUAUUGGGCGGCACCGACGACGCGGUGCAAGGAGGAGCACCUCAGAUGGUCGACGGGGUGAUGUGGUUCCGACCGGCGGC
rnacentral:snoRNA from 1 species